AGAAUCAACGCUGGCGGCGUGCCUCAGACAUGCAAGUCGAACGCGAAAGUCCCCUUCGGGGGACAAGUAGAGUGGCGCACGGGUGAGUAACACGUAGGUAAUCUACCUUUGGAUGGGGAAUAACAACCGGAAACGGUUGCUAAUACCGCAUAAUGCAGCGGCACCUAAUGGUGACAGUUGUUAAAGCGGGGGAUCGAAAGACCUCGCGUCUGAAGGACGGAGCCUGCGGCGGAUUAGCUAGUUGGUAAGGUAAUGGCUUACCAAGGCUAACGAUCCGUAAACCGGCCUGGAGUACGGGCGUUCGGACACGCUAGACUACGUGACAGUACGGUCAGUACCUCCGACGGGAG
rnacentral:rRNA from 1 species